rnacentral:rRNA from 1 species
UCGGGAAUUUUGGGCAAUGGGCGAAAGCCUGACCCAGCAACGCCGCGUGAAGGAUGAAGUAUUUCGGUAUGUAAACUUCGAAAGAAUAGGAAGAAUAAAUGACGGUACUAUUUAUAAGGUCCGGCUAACUUCGUGCCAGCAGCCGCGGUAAUACGAAGGGUGCUAGCGUUGUUCGGAAUCACUGGGCGUAAAGCGCGCGUAGGCGGCGAUAUAAGUCAGAGGUGAAAGCCUGGAGCUCAACUCCAGAACUGCCUUUGAAACUAUAUUGCUAGAGUGUCGGAGGGGAUAGCGGAAUUGCUAAUGUAGAGGUGAAAUUCGUAGAUAUUAGCAGGAACACCGGUGGCGAAGGCGGCUAUCUGGACGACAACUGACGCUGAGGCGCGAAAGCGUGGGGAUCAAACAGGAUUAGAUACCCACGUAGUCCCUGAGCGGGCUGGCAAGGCGCAU